rnacentral:rRNA from 1 species
CAGUAGCCACGGGAACACAGAGGGUGCAAGCGUUAAUCGGAAUUACUGGGCGUAAAGCGCGCGUAGGUGGUUUGUUAAGUUGGAUGUGAAAGCCCCGGGCUCAACCUGGGAACUGCAUCCAAAACUGGCAAGCUAGAGUACGGUAGAGGGUGGUGGAAUUUCCUGUGUAGCGGUGAAAUGCGUAGAUAUAGGAAGGAACACCAGUGGCGAAGGCGACCACCUGGACUGAUACUGACACUGAGGUGCGAAAGCGUGGGGAGCAAACAGGAUUAGAUACCCCUGUAGUCCCUGUCUCUUAUAC